GUGCCAGCAGCCGCGGUAAUACGAAGGGGGCUAGCGUUGUUCGGAAUCACUGGGCGUAAAGCGCGUGUAGGCGGAUCGUUAAGUCGGGGGUGAAAUCCUGAGGCUCAACCUCAGAACUGCCUUCGAUACUGGCGAUCUUUGAGUCCGGGAGAGGUGAGUGGAACUCCUAGUGUAGAGGUGAAAUUCGUAGAUAUUAGGAAGAACACCAGUGGCGAAGGCGGCUCACUGGCCCGGUACUGACGCUGAUAUGCGAAAGCGUGGGGAGCAAACAGGAUUAGAUACCCGGGUAGUCC
rnacentral:rRNA from 1 species